GUGCCAUGAUGUCAGUUGUCAACACGUCAUUCUGAAGAAAGAUUGUUUGGAGCUCUUCUGGGACUGAGCACC
ensembl:snoRNA SNORD63 Small nucleolar RNA SNORD63